CCUACGGGUGGCAGCAGUGGGGAAUAUUGGGCAAUGGGCGCAAGCCUGACCCAGCAACGCCGCGUGAAGGAAGAAGGCCUUCGGGUUGUAAACCUCUUUUCUCAGGGACGAAGCAAGUGACGGUACCUGAGGAAUAAGCCACGGCUAACUACGUGCCAGCAGCCGCGGUAAUACGGAGGUGGCAAGCGUUAUCCGGAUUUACUGGGUGUAAAGGGCGUGUAGGCGGGAAAGCAAGUCAGAUGUGAAAACCAUGGGCUCAAACUGUGGCCUGCAUUUGAAACUGUUUUUCUUGAGUACUGGAGAGGCAGACGGAAUUCCUAGUGUAGCGGUGAAAUGCGUAGAUAUUAGGAGGAACACCAGUGGCGAAGGCGGUCUGCUGGACAGCAACUGACGCUGAGGCGCGAAAGCGUGGGGAGCAAACAGGAUUAGAUACCCCUGUAGUC
rnacentral:rRNA from 1 species